rnacentral:lncRNA from 1 species
AUGUAUGUUCCUACAAACGACACUAAUGAUGUUGUAAUAUUAGAUUUUCUCGUACAAGUGAGGAUAUUCAAUUUUGGACUUGUACGAGUUGCAUUCAAUGAUAUACAUGUGAAAGGCUCGAUGAUGCAAUUCAAUUUCUGGAGCAUGUUUUUAGUAUUAGGGAAGAAAAUCUUGGUACAACAAAUCCCGACGUGGAUAUGCGGCAUAAAUUGCAGAUCAGGUUGUUAUAUUUAG